CAGAGCUUCACUGCUUUUCAUUUUUUGAAGAUGGCUUUGCGACCUACUUUAAUAUGAAGGCUCAAACUAACUGGAAAGAAAGCCUCAUAGGCGUCACAGUGAAGAACAUUUUGAGGCCAUGAUGCUGAGGAAUAAGAGCUUUUGUGACUAUUGAUGAAUGCACUUACAGAAAGAGCAAGGACACGUGAUGCAGAAGCAACUGGAAUCCAGGAACAGAACUCCUCCAGGUGUCUCCAUUCCUUUCUGCGUCUCUCCAUGUGUCGUCUUUUCAAUGCAGAGAAAGUUGCAUAUUAUUAUGCAUAAGAAAUUUACAGCUUACAAAGCCUUGCAAGAACUCUUGAGACCAGUUGGGAAAGACAGAGAAAGAGAGAGAGAAAAAAUUGACUUCUGCUUAAAUCGUGUUAAAAAAACAAAAUGUAAAACUUAAAACAUUUCCAAAGAAGUUCUCCACCAGUUAAAUGAGGUAAUAAUAUCUAGGUUAAAAAUUCCAAAUCAUAUCAUUAAAGGUAGAGACUAAGAUUUGAGACAGGCACUUGUGAUAAAAGUGUACUAAACUCCUU